UUAGACAAUUUAGAAAUCCUAAAUUUAGGCAAUGAUAUAUUGGGAGGAUAAACUGGUGAGUUUUUCUUUCUCAUUCUCUACUUCUAUUAUGUGAAGAGAAAGAGAAGGAGAAAAAGGGAAGAUGUUGAAGAGAAAGAGCUCAUGAAAUGAAGAGGAGAAGAAUAACGGAUGGAGAAAAAUGAGGUUCUACAACAACUCAAGCUUGAAUCUAAAGAGGGAGAAGGAGAUUUGAGGGAAAAUAAAGCUUAUUUCUGAAAAAUAUCUAAGAGAUUGGGAGGUCUUGUUUAGUUUAAGCUUCUAAAUACUUGAGUACAAGAUUUCAGAAUUUCAGAUGAAGAUCAAUGCUAUAAGACCGGAAAGAAACCAGCCAUAUGGAUGAAUAUUUCAUUUGUUAGCUAAUAAGUGUAAAUUUUCUUGUAAUUAAUGGAUAUGUUGUAUUUCUCAAUAGAAAUGUACAAUUUUAAGGGAUUUGAAUUAUAAGUAUUGCCACCAAGGGAAGAUCCUGACAAUUUGAUGUAAUGGAACUUUGUAAUAUUAAUAAACAUUUAAUCCUUAUGGAGGAUAUUAUGAGUAAGAUUUUUGAUGAGUUGUCAUAU